GGAUGCGAUCAUACCAGCACUAAAGCACCGGAUCCCAUCAGAACUCCGAAGUUAAGCGUGCUUGGGCGAGAGUAGUACUAGGAUGGGUGACCUCCUGGGAGGUCCUCGUGUUGCAUUCC
rnacentral:rRNA from 3 species